GGAGAAGUGGUACUAAAUAAAUCCUCAAAAUAUUCCACAGCCACCUUUUCCACACCUUCGUCUCCUGUUAUCCAAGUACCCGCCUCAUCAUGAAGACCCACAAUCCUAUUCCGAACCCGUCUUUGCUUUGUCAAGGCAUGAUAAAAUUUUGUUAGAUCCCCAGAUGAAUACCACAUAUUUCGACUUUUCUGAUGCCAGUACUCCUCCUCAUCUUUAUAUGCUUCCUGCAAUUUCCUAGAAACCUCAAAAACCUCUUCUUCCGACCUAUCGUUGUCGGAUUGGACCUCUUCCAAUGCUCUCUGCAGGUCUUGAAUUUUGUCCUUUCCAUAUGGAGGGUUAUUUUCCGCCAGGAAGCAAUUUCAUGACGGCAACUGCUAAUUUUUGAAACCAAAUCCUCUGACUGUCCCUCAUUGUGAUCCCGCCAGCCCGUAGCUAUCGAUUCCAUAAGGCCAUGCUGUCCGAUCCAACGUUUAUCAAAUCUAAAAU
rnacentral:lncRNA from 1 species